rnacentral:rRNA from 1 species
UACAGAGGGGGCAAGCGUUAUUCGGAAUUAUUGGGCGUAAAGGGCGCGUAGGCGGCCAUUCAAGUGACGGGUGAAAUCCCUCGGCUUAACCGAGGAACUGCCCUCCAAACUGCUUGGCUUGAGUCCGGGAGAGGUGAGUGGAAUUCCCAGUGUAGCGGUGAAAUGCGUAGAUAUUGGGAGGAACACCAGUGGCGAAGGCGGCUCACUGGACCGGAACUGACGCUGAGGCGCGAAAGCGUGGGGAGCAAACGGG